rnacentral:rRNA from 1 species
AUUGAACGCUGGCGGCAUGCUUCAUCCAUGCAAGUCGAACGGUAGCAGCAAAAUGCUUGCAUUUUGGCUGACGAGUGGCGAACGGGUGCGUAACGCGUAGGAAUCUGCCCUAAAGCGGGGGAUAACUCGGGGAAACUCGAGCUAAUACCGCAUAUACCCCACGGGGAAAAGUGGACCUCUACUUGUAAGUUCACGCUUUAGGAUGAGCCUGCGUCUGAUUAGCUUGUUGGUAGGGUAAAGGCCUACCAAGGCGACGAUCGGUAGCUGGUCUGAGAGGACGAUCAGCCACACUGGGACUGAGACACGGCCCAGACUUCUACGGAAGGCAGCAGGAGGGAAUAUUGGACAAUGGGGGCAAACCCUGAUCCAGCAAUGCCGCGUGUGUGAAGAAGGCCUGCGGGUUGUAAAGCACUUUCGGUAGGGAAGAGAGUUUUAUGGGGUAAUAUCCUGUAAGGCAAGACGUUACCUACAGAAGAAGCACCGGCUAACUCUGUG